UACGUAGGUGGCAAGCGUUGUCCGGAUUUACUGGGCGUAAAGGGCGUGCAGGCGGUUUGUUAAGUCUAGGGUGAAAGCUCCCGGCUCAACUGGGAGAGGUCCUUGGAUACUGGCGAACUUGAGGGAUGCAGAGGAAAGUGGAAUUCCCGGUGUAGUGGUGAUAUGCGUAGAUAUCGGGAGGAACACCAGUGGCGAAGGCGCUUCUGGCCUGUUCUUGACGCUGAGGCGCGAAAGCUGGGGGAGCAAACGGG
rnacentral:rRNA from 1 species